GACGAACGCUGGCGGCGUGCUUAACACAUGCAAGUCGAACGGAAAGGCCCUGCUUUUGUGGGGUGCUCGAGUGGCGAACGGGUGAGUAACACGUGAGUAACCUGCCCUUGACUUUGGGAUAACUUCAGGAAACUGGGGCUAAUACCGGAUAGGAGCUCCUGCUGCAUGGUGGGGGUUGGAAAGUUUCGGCGGUUGGGGAUGGACUCGCGGCUUAUCAGCUUGUUGGUGGGGUAGUGGCUUACCAAGGCUUUGACGGGUAGCCGGCCUGAGAGGGUGACCGGCCACAUUGGGACUGAGAUACGGCCCGGACUCCUACGGGAGGCAGCAGUGGGGAAUAUUGCACAAUGGGCGGAAGCCUGAUGCAGCAACGCCGCGUGCGGGAUGACGGCCUUCGGGUUGUAAACCGCUUUCGCCUGUGACGAAGCGUGAGUGACGGUAAUGGGUAAAGAAGCACCGGCUAACUACGUGCCAGCAGCCGCGGUGAUACGUAGGGUGCGAGCGUUGUCCGGAUUUAUUGGGCGUAAAGGGCUCGUAGGUGGUUGAUCGCGUCGGAAGUGUAAUCUUGGGGCUUAACCCUGAGCGUGCUUUCGAUACGGGUUGACUUGAGGAAGGUAGGGGAGAAUGGAAUUCCUGGUGGAGCGGUGGAAUGCGCAGAUAUCAGGAGGAACACCAGUGGCGAAGGCGGUUCUCUGGGCCUUUCCUGACGCUGAGGAGCGAAAGCGUGGGGAGCGAACAGGCUUAGAUACCCUGGUAGUCCACGCUGUAAACGGUGGGUACUAGGUGUGGGGUCCAUUCCACGGGUUCCGUGCCGUAGCUAACGCUUUAAGUACCCCGCCUGGGGAGUACGGCCGCAAGGCUAAAACUCAAAGGAAUUGACGGGGCCCCGCACAAGCGGCGGAGCAUGCGGAUUAAUUCGAUGCAACGCGUAGAACCUUACCUGGGUUUGACAUGGAUCGGGAGUGCUCAGAGAUGGGUGUGCCUCUUUUGGGGUCGGUUCACAGGUGGUGCAUGGCUGUCGUCAGCUCGUGUCGUGAGAUGUUGGGUUAAGUCCCGCAACGAGCGCAACCCUUGUUCACUGUUGUCAGCACGUUAUGGUGGGGACUCAGUGGAGACCGCCGGGGUCAACUCGGAGGAAGGUGGGGAUGACGUCAAGUCAUCAUGCCCCUUAUGUCCAGGGCUUCACGCAUGCUACAAUGGCUGGUACAGAGAGUGGCGAGCCUGUGAGGGUGAGCGAAUCUCGGAAAGCCGGUCUCAGUUCGGAUUGGGGUCUGCAACUCGACCUCAUGAAGUCGGAGUCGCUAGUAAUCGCAGAUCAGCAACGCUGCGGUGAAUACGUUCCCGGG
rnacentral:rRNA from 1 species